ensembl:snRNA U6 U6 spliceosomal RNA
AUCCUCGCUUAGGCAGCACAUAUACUAAAGUUGGAACAAUACAGAGAAGAAUAGCUUGGCCCCUGUGCAAGGUUUAUUCCAUGCUGAAAAAAAGAAGAAAGAAAACGGCUC